AUUGAACGCUGGCGGCAUGCCUUACACAUGCAAGUCGAACGGCAGCGGGGGAGAAGCUUGCUUUUCCUGCCGGCGAGUGGCGAACGGGUGAGUAAUACAUCGGAACGUGGCCUGUAGUGGGGGAUAACUAGUCGAAAGAUUAGCUAAUACCGCAUACGACCUGAGGGUGAAAGUGGGGGACCGCAACGCAUCAAGAUAUAGGAGCGGCCGAUGUCUGAUUAGCUAGUUGGUGGGGUAAAGGCCUACCAAGGCGACGAUCAGGAGCUGGUCUGAGAGGACGAUCAGCCACACUGGGACUGAGACACGGCCCAGACUCCUACGGGAGGCAGCAGUGGGGAAUUUUGGACAAUGGGCGAAAGCCUGAUCCAGCAAUGCCGCGUGUGUGAAGAAGGCCUUCGGGUUGUAAAGCACUUUUGUCCGGAAAGAGAUGGCUCUGGUUAAUACCUGGGGUCGAUGACGGUACCGGAAGAAUAAGGACCGGCUAACUACGUGCCAGCCGCCGCAGUAA
rnacentral:rRNA from 1 species